ensembl:lncRNA
UGUUGGGCCAGCAGCCUCCUGUUCCAAGGGACAGUCCUGUAAACCACGUCUCCUUCUGCCUUCAUUAAAAACACCAGGCCGGUCACACUGCACUGGUACAGGCCUGGACAGGAGCACUGGAACGUGUAGUUUUCAUCAUCAAAAUCAUCAGUGAUAACUGGUGUAAACUCAUUUAACAGCAUAUCAGGUGAGCUGUUUACUUGUGUAAAGUUGUUCUUUGCACGGGGUAUUUUGCUCAGUGAGACCAUGCUGUGAGAACAAGGCAAGAGGCAGGAUCUGCUGCACAGCCCACUAGAUCCAGAUGUUCCUCGAAGUUUAUAAUCGUAUGGCAUGGUUUCAGACUUCAUAAUACUGUGUGUCACGAUUACUUCACUCUCACGACUUGCAGUGCUGCUAUCUGCUGCUGAUUCGUCAACAAAAGAAGUCACAGAGAGGGAGCAGGAAGGAGGAUAUUUAGAGUGGCUUGAUUUUGGAUUUUGGAGCUGAUUAAAUUUCAGCCCAUCACCUGGAGUGUUAGAAAGGAAGCUUCCUGUUGUUUCUGUCUGUGUUUGCUUGUGUUUAACACAAGGAAUUAACCAAGAACCCAACCUAUUGUUUCGUAUGAUUAUUCUUUUCCUAGAUUGUAGGUCACGAUGAUCAAACUUUUCUUGUUCCAUUGCUUCAGUGCUUGCUGUUGAAAUCCCAGUGGAGGGGAUCAAUGGAUACUUCCAAGCAAAGUUAUUCAUUUCUGAUUCUUUUUGUUCUUUUUUUUUUAGAUUGUAAUCUUGAUUAAACAUUGGUUCUGAAAGUAAGCGUUCGGUCUUUUCUUUUUCACUUUGCUUGUUUUUACCAUAAAGGAUAAAAUCGGAGUCUUCCAACAGACCUGUUUUGUUUGUCUUAUUUCUUCUCUUUUCCUUCAUUACAUACUCUUGUGGACCAUCUUUCUUUGACCAAGUAGUUAGAACAUCAAGAGCUGAACUAUUCCGUCUUUGAUUGUACAUGUUAUACUGCUCGCUGUCAUGCAUCAAGGCAUUGAAAGUCUCACCAAUUCCCAAACCUCUAGGAGGAUAGCUAAAACUUCUAGAAAGCACUCGAGGUGUACUCCGGCUCUCUGAAGGAUGUAUACUAACAUCUGUCUCUUCUUUUUCUUUAGUGCUUUCACUCCCACUCCUGCUUUUGCUCCUUGAUUUUGUGUUUAAUGGUAUAUCCAUUUUUUCAGUAACACUGCGUUUUAUCUC